rnacentral:rRNA from 1 species
CAUGCGGCUGCUUACCAUGCAAGUCGAACGGAGAUUCAGCAAUGGAUCUUAGUGGCGAACGGGUGAGUAACGCGUAGGCAAUCUGCCUUCUAGAUGGGGACAACAUCCCGAAAGGGGUGCUAAUACCGAAUGUUGUACCGUUUCCGCAUGGAGAUGAUACUAAAGGUGGCCUCUGAAUAUGCUACCGCUAGAAGAUGAGCCUGCGUCUGAUUAGCUAGUUGGAGGGGUAACGGCCCACCAAGGCUUCGAUCAGUAGCCGGUCUGAGAGGAUGAACGGCCACACUGGGACUGAGACACGGCCCAGACUCCUACGGGAGGCAGCAGUGGGGAAUCUUCCGCAAUGGACGAAAGUCUGACGGAGCAACGCCGCGUGAGUGAAGAAGGUUUUCGGAUCGUAAAGCUCUUUCGUUAGGGACGAACGUGCUCUUUGUGAAUAAUGAGGAGUAAUGACGGUACCUAAAUAAGAAGCCACGGCUAACUACGUGCCAGCAGCCGCGGUAAUACGUAGGUGGCAAGCGUUGUCCGGAAUUAUUGGGCGUAAAGCGCGCGCAGGCGGGAUAUCAAGUCUGUCUUAAAAGUGCGAGGCUCAACCUCGUGAGGGGACGGAAACUGGUAUUCUUGAGUGUCGGAGAGGAAAGUGGAAUUCCAAGUGUAGCGGUGAAAUGCGUAGAGAUUUGGAAGAGCACCAGUGGCGAAGGCGACUUUCUGGGACGAUGUCUGACGCUGAGGCGCGAAAGCUAGGGGAGCGAACGGGAUUAGAUACCCCGGUAGUCCUAGCCGUAAACGAUGGGUACUAGGUGUAGGGGGGUAUCGACCCCUC